rnacentral:rRNA from 1 species
AGUCGAACGAGACCUUCGGGUCUAGUGGCGCACGGGUGCGUAACGCGUAGGCAAUCUACCCGAUACAGGGGAAUAACACGGGGAAACUCGUGCUAAUACCGCGUAAUAAAUGAGAAGGCAUCUUCUUAUUUUAAAAGCUUCGGCGGUAUCGGAAGAGCCUGCGUCCUAUUAGCUAGUUGGUAAGGUAACAGCUUACCAAGGCGACGAUAGGUAGGGGAACUGAGAGGUUGAUCCCCCACACUGGUACUGAGAUACGGACCAGACUCCUACGGGAGGCAGCAGUGAGGAAUAUUGGUCAAUGGACGGAAGUCUGAACCAGCCAUGUCGCGUGUCGGAAGACGGCCCUCUGGGUUGUAAACGGCUUUUCUUUGGGAAGAACACGCUCUUGCGAGAGCAACUGACGGUACCAAAGGAAUAAGCACCGGCUAACUACGUGCCAGCAGCCGCGGUAAUACGUAGGGUGCAAGCGUUGUCCGGAUUUAUUGGGUUUAAAGGGUGCGUAGGCGGCUAUUUAAGUCGUGGGUGAAAGCCCGUCGCUUAACGACGGAAUUGCCUGCGAUACUGGAUAGCUUGAGUAUCGUUAAGGUUGGCGGAAUGGGAGGUGUAGCGGUGAAAUGCAUAGAUACCUUUCCAUAACACCGAUUGCG